AGGAAACAGAGGUGGAGUCCUUCCAAUACGACCACACAACACGACCAUCACCAUUACUUACCUUUACGCACUGUGCAUGGUAGGCAGAAGAUAUGGCGCCUCUUGGAACGAAUCCGCAAACGAGAAGUUCCGGAAUUCACAGAGAGGGCUCUGAAGGCCGCACCCUGGCUGGAGACCCUGCGGACCAGGAGCAGAUCAGCUGGUGGACGGAGAGCUGGCAGUACAGGACACCCAGACAUCCGGACCACCCAGUGAGGCCAGGAGGAGAAGGCAGCCAUCUGUAAGCCAAAAAAAAAAAAAAGGUCUCAGAAGAAACCAAA